rnacentral:rRNA from 1 species
UACGUAGGGGGCAAGCGUUGUCCGGAUUUAUUGGGCGUAAAGCGCUCGCAGGUGGUUCGAUGCGUCGUGCGUGAAAGACCCCGGCUCAACUGGGGAGGGUCGUGCGAUACGGUCGAACUGGAGGCCAGUAGGGGGAUGCGGAAUUCCGGGUGUAGUGGUGGAAUGCGUAGAGAUCCGGAGGAACACCAGCGGCGAAGGCGGCAUCCUGGACUGGUCCUGACACUCAGGAGCGAAAGCGGUGGGGAGCGAUCCGG